GAGAACCUGCACACAGGGUGCUGCAUGGCUGUCGUCAGCUCGUGUCGUGAGAUGUUGGGUUAAGUCCCGCAACGAGCGCAACCCUUGCCAUUAGUUGCUACGAAAGGGCACUCUAAUGGGACUGCCGGUGACAAACCGGAGGAAGGUGGGGAUGACGUCAAGUCCUCAUGGCCCUUAUAGGUGGGGCUACACACGUCAUACAAUGGUCGGUACAGAGGGUUGCCAACCCGCGAGGGGGAGCUAAUCCCACAAAGCCGAUCGUAGUCCGGAUCGCAGUCUGCAACUCGACUGCGUGAAGUCGGAAUCGCUAGUAAUCGUGGAUCAGCAUGUCACGGUGAAUACGUUCCCGGGUCUU
rnacentral:rRNA from 1 species